GAUCUGAUUAAAGACAUGAGGAAAUAGUGAGUAAACCCCCCCCCCAUUGUUCAAGUGAAAGUUUUUUUAAAAUAAUUAUGAGAAAACUUAGCAUGAGAUUUAUGAAAGGAAACCUUUAUUUUGAAUUUACCAAACACCUGAAAACACACAUGGGUAGAAUAUUGCCCGAGGGUCCUUGGUAUCCCUUAGACUACAAAAACAUUUAAUAUUAGAAAUUAAAUUAAUGAGAAAAAUUCUGUUUCUUUUUUCUCUAAAUCCAGACUUGUUGGGACAAAAAUACACCUUAAGCUGUAUUUGCAUGAUUAUCAAGCUCAACAGCUGUACUGAUGAGAACAAUGCUGUCAGGUUACGGACAUUUCUAUUACCAAAAGUAAAACUGGAGUCAACUUUAUCAGCAAAAAGGUGAGAAAGAUGAGAAACUAUUUCCUUACAUUGCAUUUUCAUUACUUUGGCACCAAUCAGAUGUACUUAGCUAGAUGAUGUCAUAGAAGACAAUAAUAACAUACAAGGCCACCUUCCGUGGUUCUUAAACUGAGGCUUUAGAAAGUUGUUUCUCUCUUCUAUCCAACAUCUGCAAAUAAGGGUUGGGUGGUCAGACUGGUUUAUGUCUAAGACAGGGAAGUCAAACUCAAAUUCACACUGGGCCGAAAUGAAAAUCUGGGAAGAAGUCACAGGCCAAACUUAAUAUUUUUUGAAAAAGUGACUGCAAAUUUGCACAUUUUUUUUAAUCAACAUAUAUGCAAUUUUGAACCUUUUAAUUUGGAAACAAACUUAUUUUUGCAUUAAGACUGAAUGUGUAAUAACCAAAUCACACACGAGCAAGUCAAUUUUAAAUAUCAGUGGUAUUCAUUACUUGUGGUAUAUUCAGCAUUUUAAAAAUCUAUUCAGGAUUUAUGUUUUCUUGUUGUUUAUUCAUUUUUUCUUAGUUUUUAUUCUCCUUUUUUUCUCCUGUAAUAAGUGUCAUCGCUGAUGUGACAUCGAGCUGUCCCCACUGAGGAACAAUAAAGGGAUUUUCUAUUCUAUUCAUCUAUCUGCAGCCUUUCCAGUUCCUGUUUACUGUAGGUUAAAUCUUUUCUCGCAGGCCAACAACAAAAUAAAAAUAUAAUUUUAUCUUAAAUGAAAAUGCAACAUCUCACCUGUUAACUUUCAGGUUUUGGAGCAGAAAAAGAGCAUAAAACCAAAAUAUUUAAAGCUCAGUUUGCUCCACUGGUUUACUGUGAUGCUCACCUGUUCCAGCCAGAUUCCUGCAUCAUGGGGUUGAGCUCUGAGCUGAGGAGGAGACUCCUGUUGUUUUGUUCAUCUUCAUCAUAAUAAUGACGACAAUAAGUGCUCACAUAGGUUUAUGCUGGUGAACACGUCUGAGCAGCUUGACCACGUUGUUGUGUGUCGGGGAGGAAAAAUAAAAACUACAGCAGCCACAGAGUAAUGCUGAUUUGAGCAUGUCACUGCUUGCUGGAGUUAUAUCAGCUCUGUCUGGAAGUUAGUUGGAAAACUUUCUCUUUCAGUCGUGAACACAUUACUGAGUGGUUAAAAUCUCCAUUUCUGGGCUUCAACGUCAAAAAAUAGCUGAGUAAACUCGGCGCUGAGUGAGAGGAGUGUUUAGUUUGUCCGAGACAGCGGAGCUGCAGGCACCGGCAGCAGGCAUGAAAAAACACAAAGGAGGGGGCGUUUGGGCUCUGCGCCAAUGCCACAAAGCAUCAUGGGAGUUGUAGUCUUUGCGGUAAAAUCGGCCAGCAGGUCAGUUUUAAUAUAGUUUUGAUAUUUAUCUCGCGGGCCACAUAAAAAUGCUAUGCGGGCCUCAUCUGGCCCACAGGCCUUGUGUCUGACACAUGUGGUCUAAGACUUGAGGAAUCAAUCACAACUGCCUGCAGGGUGAGAUGUCACAGCUAAUACGUAGAAACAAUAUAAAACAAAUUAGGUGAUUAGCUAAAAUUAAACUCUGAGGGGCUUAGCAGGUCAAAUCAAACAGCCUGACUGGAAAUUAUAUGCAGAAAGGCUGCCAGCCCCAGAUGGUGGGUGACUUCAAUGUAGCGGGGCAAAAAAAAAAAAAAAAAAAAAAAUUCAAAUAUACAGAAUAA